rnacentral:misc_RNA from 1 species
GUGAAUCAUCGAAUUUUUGAACGCAAAGUGCACCUUCUGGUAUUCCGGAAAGUAUGCCUGUUUGAGGGUCAGUUAAAUAAAAAUUGGUGUUAUUGCUAUUAAUGGUGAUGCAUCGGAAUCGAGUCGUCUUUAUCUUUGGUGUUAAGUGAUUUAAAAUUAUGUAUGAUUUCUGAAUGUAUUUAAAUUAUUUACUUACGUUUAUGAUCUCAUAUAUUAGGUGCGGUCAUCCACAUGAUUUCGCGCCUAUAAUUUUU